rnacentral:rRNA from 1 species
CCUACGGGAGGCAGCAGUGGGGAAUAUUGCACAAUGGGGGAAACCCUGAUGCAGCCAUGCCGCGUGUGUGAAGAAGGCCUUCGGGUUGUAAAGCACUUUCAGUUGUGAGGAAAAGUUAGUAGUUAAUACCUGCUAGCCGUGACGUUAACAACAGAAGAAGCACCGGCUAACUCCGUGCCAGCAGCCGCGGUAAUACGGAGGGUGCGAGCGUUAAUCGGAAUUACUGGGCGUAAAGCGCACGCAGGCGGUUUGUUAAGCUAGAUGUGAAAGCCCCGGGCUCAACCUGGGAUGGUCAUUUAGAACUGGCAGACUAGAGUCUUGGAGAGGGGAGUGGAAUUCCAGGUGUAGCGGUGAAAUGCGUAGAUAUCUGGAGGAACAUCAGUGGCGAAGGCGACUCCCUGGCCAAAGACUGACGCUCAUGUGCGAAAGUGUGGGUAGCGAACAGGAUUAGAUACCCUGGUAGUCCACACCGUAAACGCUGUCUACUAGCUGUGUGUGCCUUUAAGGCGUGCGUAGCGAAGCUAACGCGCUGAGUAGACCGCCUGGGGAGUACGGCCGCAAGGUUAAAACUCAAAUGAAUUGACGG